rnacentral:misc_RNA from 1 species
GUAUUUAUUUUUGUCUAUAUUUUUUAGGAAGUAUAGGCAAAAGAUAUGGGGUUUCCCUCGCAAGGGGGUACUCUGAAAUAGAUUGCCUCUGUUUUGAUAGACUCGACGAAGUUUUUCAAUCCUGCAGAAAAGUAUUUGAAUGGAACUGUGGUUUCUCGAUAUGCUGAAUAUGUGGGGGAAAGAUGGAGAAUCUAUUGGGCAGAUGUCCAUACCCUAUAAGGCGGUCUUAGGAUCGGCUUGAA